rnacentral:rRNA from 1 species
UACGAAGGGGGCUAGCGUUGUUCGGAAUCACUGGGCGUAAAGCGCACGUAGGCGGCGCGUUAAGUCAGGGGUGAAAUCCUGGAGCUCAACUCCAGAACUGCCUUUGAUACUGGCGUGCUUGAGUGUGGGAGAGGUUGGUGGAACUCCGAGUGUAGAGGUGAAAUUCGUAGAUAUUCGGAAGAACACCAGUGGCGAAGGAGGCCAACUGGCCCAUUACUGACGAUGAGGUGCGAAAGCGUGGGGAGCAAACAGG